rnacentral:tRNA from 1 species
GGGGACGAUUCCAGGCUCAUGCGAUUGCUGGCAAAGAAACGGAUCUCAUCCCGUGCGAUGACUUCGACCUGGAAGGGUUCGAGUCCCUUCGUCCCUUCCA